rnacentral:miRNA from 1 species
AUAAGUAUAAUUAAUCGUA